CUUCAGAGAAACUGACUUCAAGUGUGCCUUAGCGUAAGUUCUAAACUGCAAACUUAGCCGCACGCAAAACGGGAUAACUCACUAUUCCAUAAUUAAUUAUGCAAUUAUUAUAAAUUUUAAAAAUAUAUCUUUUAUUUUUUAAAGAAAACUUUAUAUAGAUUUUUUUCACAAAAUAUACCAUUUGAUAAUUAAGAAAUUGUGCUAAUGAAAAACGACAAACUUCUAAUUUGGAGCUAGUAUAAUUUAGGAGCCCUAUCAGUAUCACAGUCAACAUUUACAAACAGAACCCUGACUAGAUCAAUAUUUACAAUCAGCGCCCUCAAUAUUCACUCGUCACUCCACUGCAAUAUACAAUGGCGCAUGCUUGAAUGCCGCCGCCGCCGCCGCGACCUCGUUUGGCGCCAAAUCCGGCCGCCAUCAUCCACGCCGCGCUGCUCAAAUCCUCCCCGGCCAGCCUCCCGCCGCGCCUCUCCUUCAACUCCCUCCUCGCCGCCGCCGCUGCCUCCCCGCACCCGCGCCUCCGCUCCCUCGUCCUCCCCGCGCUCGCGCUCGCGCACCGCUGCCCCGCCGCCGCUGGGCCGCUCGACUCCUACGCCCUGUGCUCCGCGCUCCGCCACGCCUCCGCGCCGGAGGCGGAGCCACUCCACGCCCACGCCGCCAGGUCCGGCUGGCUCGGCAGCGUCUUCGUGUCCUGCGCGAUCGCCGCGGCCUACGGUGGGUCCGGCAGGUUCUUGGACGCACGCAGGCUGUUCGACGAAAGUCCUGUCAGGAAUGCCGUCUUUGGGAACGCUGUUCUUGCUGGGUACGUGAACGCGGGGAAGUGGGCACCGUUGCUGGAGUUUGCAAGGAGGUUUUCGGAGCUUCGAUUGCAGGUUGAUGGGUACACGAUGACGGCUGUGGUGAGAGCUUGCGGAGAGUUGGCGGAUGCUGAUUUGGGUGGACAGGCGCAUGGGCAUGCGAUCAGAAGGGUGGGAGCUGUGGAGUCUGACGUGUUCUUGACCAGUGCGCUUGUGGACAUGUAUGCCAAGUGUGGGCUUGUUAGCCACGCGAAGCGCGUGUUUGACCUCGCCCAGCAAGUGAAUGCUGUUGGAAUCGAUGUUGUGCUGUGGACGGCGCUGCUGAACGCAUAUGGAAGGCACGGAAUGUGCAAAGAGGUUAUCCAGAUAUAUGAUCGGAUGGUGGCUUCAGGGGUCCGGCCUGAUGAACUGACUAUUCUGGCUGUGCUCUCAGCAUGCCAACAUGCUGGGGAGGUGGUCAAAGGGCUCCACUAUUUUGAGUCUAUACAUGAAGAUUACGGGUUGACACCGACACCAGAUCAUUUCAGCUGCGUGGUCAACAUGCUAUGUCGGGCAGGGAUGGUGAUCAAGGCCUGGGAGAUUGUGACCUCCAAAGGCUGUGGAGGUGAGUUUGGCAUCUCCACAUGGGUGGCUUUGCUCAGUGCUUGCUGUGAUUGUGGCAAUGUUGAGCUCGGGAGGAUGGCUGCUCAGAGGGCAAUCGAGCUGGAGCCUAACAAUGGCACCAUUUAUGUUGAGUUGUCAAAUUUGUAUGCGAGGUUUGGCUUGUGGGGGGAGAUUGACCAGCUGCGGGAAUUGAUGAAGGACAAUGGGUUGGAAAAAGAUGCUGGAUUGACAUGGGUUGAGCUUAGUUCCUGAUAUGACUUAAAAUCCCUUCAUGAAACCAGUACAGGUGGAGGAAGGGGAGGCAAUUUCGCUUUUGUUAUGAAAGCCAACUGAGUAUUUUUGGGAACAGAUUUGAGUAUAGUCCUAUUUUUUGGUCACAUAUUUAAGACUGCUGGAGGAAUUGAAAGUGAAACCACUCGUGGCUUUGCCUUGGUCACCUCAUAUUUAUCUUCGUUCAACAAUGCAUAUACACCUUUACAUCAGGACUGGAUCCGACUUUAGCAUGGUUGCUGCCUCAUGAUGCCUCCAAUGAAUUGAAAGCAUCUGUGUACCAGCGGGUUACAAACCGCCAGAAUAAUCCAAAGAUAUUAACAUUCAGUCAUGUACUCUUCUGAUGCGAACAUGAUGCCCUAGUGUGACAAGUGAUAACUGUGCUGAGAUGAACCAAACGAAUUGAAAGUAUUCGAUGUGCCAGAAGUUCUCUUAUGAAUCAAAAUAUUUGUAAAGAAAAAAGGCUCCUCCUUCUGACUCUUUCACCAAGACAAACUUGUGCUAUGGAUUUGAUUUGCAGGUUUCUCCUAGACAAAAUUACACCGGGUGCUCGAAAUCUGGAACUUAUUAGACUUCUCAUGGUCAGGCCUUUGUUAUUGUGAUCAUGAUCUGCUAAAUCACUGCUAGUUGUCGUUCCAACAAAGAAGAAUUAAAUAUGCAGUACAAUCGCGCUUGAUGUCCUAGACAAGACCAGUUAAAAUACAUCAGAUUAGGCAGUGCUGAAAGGGCUAUUAUUUUCUAUAUAUUGAUACAGUCAAUUUGAGUAGUAUGAGAAACUAACUCAAUGUAUCCA